rnacentral:tRNA from 1 species
GCCUUCGUGGUGUAGUGGUCAGCACGCUCGACGCGUAACCGAGAGGUCCGUGGUUCAAUUCCCGGCGAUGACA